CCGUCCGGUCCCGGCCCGCAGCAUUCCGAAGGCGGCCCUGCCCUCCCCCCACUCCCGGCAACCCCUCUACACCCGAGGCCUGGGGCCCCGGGAAGUUGGGGAGCCCCGGGAGAGGGCUAGGAAGUUCUCGGAGUUUGGGGGUUGCUGCGGACGCUGUGCCCCUCUCCUCCAGCACGCCCCCCGACUUAACCCCUUCCCUCCCGCGGAAGUAGGCUCUAGGCCACCUGUGAGGUUUGAACUCAUGACCCUGACAUCGAGUUGCAUAGUCCGCUGACUGAGCCAGCCAGAAAAGCCCCUGCCAUGAAUCCUUCUGAAAAGAUCACCAAAACUUCCCGGAGAGAGUGGAGGCAACAAGACCACAUUGGGACUCUACCUUGAAAAGGAAACGAAAAAUGUUGAAGAAAGACUAGCUUUACCUAACGAACACUAUUUAGAUUAUGGUUGCAACCAUGCAGACAUUAGAAUGAAGAGUUGGUCCUUUACUGAAACAGGGUCAUUUUUGCAAAUAUAUUUGAGAGUUUCACGUGCAAAUGGUGCUCUGAGUCCUUCGGUAGUCUAACAAUUCUCUCUGGAAGGACGCGAUCACUUCUCUUUAGCGAUGUUUUUUUCCUCUGUGGACAGCUAUGCCUUCAUUUGUCCCAUGUCACUUUAACCAACUUCAUGAAGCCCUGCGCUUUUUGCAA